AAAGACAUUAUGAAUGGUGCAGAGAGAGUUGUAGGACUUGAAGGUUAAAAUAGUGGAGGUUAUGGAAGAUAGAUCCACAACUAGCAAAAGUGAGACAAACAAGAUCGCAUAAAUCAAAUUGGAUAAGUCAAGGAUGUUAAAUGAAGAUGUGAACAUUGACAUUGAAUUAGGAGAGGCCACAUAUCCUGAAGGAUUGGGAAGAAGUUCAUUAUCACAAAACUCGGAUUGGAGACAUAAAGGUUGUGAGGACGGAUGACAUCCAUACAAGUGCGGAAGAUAUUUGUGCAAAAUCAGAUUACUUUGGUUGACCAGUCUUUCUAAUAAUUUUUUGUAGGAAAAGAAAUGGCCAAAUGAGAAGUCAAUAUGCACCAUGGAAUAUUUGCAAAAAAAAAAAAAAAAAAAAAAAAAAGAACAA